GACGAACGCUGGCGGCGUGCUUAACACAUGCAAGUCGAGCGGUAAGGCCCUUUCGGGGGUACACGAGCGGCGAACGGGCGAGUAACACGUGGGUGACCUGCCCUCAGCUCUGGGAUAAGCCUGGGAAACCGGGUCUAAUACCGGAUAUGACUCCACUGACGCAUGUUGUGGGGUGGAAAGCCUUGUGCGGCUGAGGAUGGGCCCGCGGCCUAUCAGCUUGUUGGUGGGGUGAUGGCCUACCAAGGCGACGACGGGUAGCCGGCCUGAGAGGGCGACCGGCCACACUGGGACUGAGACACGGCCCAGACUCCUACGGGAGGCAGCAGUGGGGAAUCUUGCGCAAUGGGCGAAAGCCUGACGCAGCGACGCCGCGUGAGGGAUGACGGCCUCGGUUGGUAACUAC
rnacentral:rRNA from 1 species